CUUAAAGGAACAAAGGUUUAAACGCCACAUCGUGUGACAACGCCUUCGUGACCAACAUCCUGUUGG
rnacentral:sRNA from 1 species